rnacentral:rRNA from 1 species
AUUGAACGCUGGCGGCAGGCCUAACACAUGCAAGUCGGACGAGUGGCGAAGGGGAGAGUAAUGUAUGGGACUGUACCGUAUAGUGGGGGAUCACUGUCCGAAAGGAGAGCUAAUACCGCAUAUUCUGCGAAAGGCCGAUGUCUGAUUAGCUGAGUGGAGGGGUAAAGGCACACCAAGGCGACGAUCAGUAGCGGGUCUGAGAGGAUGAUCCGCCACACUGGGACUGAGACACGGCCCAGACUCCUACGGGAGGCAGCAGUGGGGAAUAUUGGACAAUGGGCGCAAGCCUGAUCCAGCCAUGCCGCGUGUCUGAAGAAGGCCUUCGGGUUGUAAAGGACUUUUGGCAGGGAAGCGGUACCUGAAGAAUAAGCACCGGCUAACUCCGUGCCAGCAGCCGCGGUAAUAC